CCCGCGGUCAGACGGAAAGACCCCGUGCACCUUUACUAUAGCUUUGCAGUGGCAUUAGUACUUGUAUGUGUAGGAUAGGCGGGAGGCUUUGAAGCGACGGCGCCAGCUGUCGUGGAGCUACCCUUGAAAUACCGCCCUUAUACGUUCUGAUGUCUAACCGCGGCCCGUUAUCCGGGUCCGGGACCCUGCAUGGUGGGUAGUUUGACUGGGGCGGUCGCCUCCCAAAUAGUAACGGAGGCGCGCGAUGGUAGGCUCAGACCGGU
rnacentral:rRNA from 1 species